rnacentral:rRNA from 1 species
ACGGUAGUUACCAGAAAGGGACGGCUAACUACGUGCCAGCAGCCGCGGUAAUACGUAGGUCCCGAGCGUGUUCCGGAUUUAUUGGGCGUAAAGCGAGCGCAGGCGGUUUGAUAAGUCUGAAGUUAAAGGCUGUGGCUCAACCAUAGUUCGCUUUGGAAACUGUCAAACUUGAGUGCAGAAGGGGAGAGUGGAAUUCCAUGUGUAGCGGUGAAAUGCGUAGAUAUAUGGAGGAACACCGGUGGCGAAAGCGGCUCUCUGGUCUGUAACUGACGCUGAGGCUCGAAAGCGUGGGGAGCGAACAGGAUUAGAUACCCUGGUAGUCCACGCCGUAAACGAUGAGUGCUAGGUGUUGGAUCCUUUCCGGGAUUCAGUGCCGAAGCUAACGCAUUAAGCACUCCGCCUGGGGAGUACGACCGCAAGGUUGAAACUCAAAGGAAUUGACGGGGGCCCGCACAAGCGGUGGAGCAUGUGGUUUAAUUCGAAGCAACGCGAAGAACCUUACCAGGUCUUGACAUCCCGAUGCUAUUUCUAGAGAUAGAAAGUUACUUCGGUACAUCGGUGACAGGUGGUGCAUGGUUGUCGUCAGCUCGUGUCGUGAGAUGUUGGGUUAAGUCCCGCAACGAGCGCAACCCCUAUUGUUAGUUGCCAUCAUUCAGUUGGGCACUCUAGCGAGACUGCCGGUAAUAAACCGGAGGAAGGUGGGGAUGACGUCAAAUCAUCAUGCCCCUUAUGACCUGGGCUACACACGUGCUACAAUGGUUGGUACAACGAGUUGCGAGUCGGUGACGGCGAGCUAAUCUCUUAAAGCCAAUCUCAGUUCGGAUUGUAGGCUGCAACUCGCCUACAUGAAGUCGGAAUCGCUAGUAGUCGCGGAUCAGCACGCCGCGGUGAAUACGUUCCCGGGCCUUGUACACACCGCCCGUCACACCACGAGAGUUUGUAACACCCGAAGUCGGUGAGGUAACCUUUUGGAGCCAGCCGCCUAAGGUGGGACAGAUGAUUGGGGUGAAGUCGUAACAAGGUAGCCGUAUCGGAAGGUGCGGCUGGAUCACCUCCUUUCUAA